ensembl:ncRNA R07B1.18 ncRNA
AAAAAAUGAGAGUUUCCUAAAAAUAGAGCUCAGCUUUCGCGCCGCAGUCACUGAGAAUAAUGCAUCACAGACCACAUGUUGUUUGGUGAAAACGGAAAAACAACGGAGGCAACGCAUUCAAACAUGAAUUUUUCAUAAAAAGUAAUGUAUAAUAUACCUCUCUCAAACUUUUCACUAUGAUUUCCGUGCUGCGGUGCGAAAAGAGGAAAAACCAAAAACU